GACGAACGCUGGCGGCGUGCUUAACACAUGCAAGUCGAACGGAAAGGCCUGCUUUCCCUUGUGGAUUGCGGGUACUCGAGUGGCGAACGGGUGAGUAACACGUGAGUGAUCUGCCCCCAACUUGGGUAUAAGCCUGGGCAACUGGGUCUAAUUCCCGAUAGGACUGCAGGGUUGUGCCUGUGGUGGCAAACGAUUUUCUAGUGGUUGGGGAUGAGCUCGCGGCCUAUCAGCUUGUUGGCGGGGUAAUGGCCUACCGAGGCGGCGACGGGUAGCCGGCCUGGGAGGGUGGACGGCCGCAUUGGGACUGAGAUACGGCCCCGACUCCUACGGGGGGCAGCAUUGGGGGAUAUUGCACAAUGGGCGGAAGCCUGAUGCAGCGACGCCGCGUGGGGGAUGACGGCCUUCGGGUUGUAAGCUCCUUUCGACCGCGAGGAAGCCACCUGGUUGGAAGGGUGGUGACGGUAGUGGUAGAAGAAGCACCGGCUAACUACGUG
rnacentral:rRNA from 1 species